GAGAUGUCAAAGACCACUCCUUCUGGAGAGAAGGAUCGGGCAUUGACAUCGAGUGCUCUAACAUCUGACACUCUCUUGCAGGAGAUUAGGCAUAAGAGCAUAACUAGUUUAGCUGAUAGUUGUUUCAAGGAUAAAGACUCGUUGUCUGGCCACCGUGUCAAGAAAUUCAAUAUUAGGGAGACGUCCCACAGGGAGGAAUAGCGAGGUUGGGGUGGCCUUGCAAAGCGAAUGCCUCGGAGAAGACGACAGACAAUUGGGUGUCGUCCUAUCGGGGCCCCAUCAAUGCCGGUAUGGCCGGCCGAUAUGGCCGAACGGUAGAGGUUUACUGUCCUGUAAGCCUUCCCGUCGUCAUAAAGGGAUGUUAAGAAUUGCAGGACUGUUGUCACAGGAGUUGAUAGGGGAUCCAAACCCCGUGCCAUGCACCAACCAUCCCAUGUGCGCCAAGCAGACUUGUAAGACUGCCUCGUGCCGGGUGCCCAUGAGCCCUCGAGAAGUCGGAGAGUCGAUUGCGAAACUCCCUCGAUCGAC